GCCUGGGUGGCUCAGUUGGUUAAGCAUCAGACUUCAGGUCAGGUCAUGAUCUCACAGUUUGUGGGUUCGAGUCCCACAUCGGGCU
rnacentral:tRNA from 1 species